GGGUGAAGAUAAAAUGGAUUAGCGGCGGACGGGUGAGUAACACGUGAGUAACCUGCCUUAGACAUUGGGAUAGCCUCGGGAAACCGGGAUUAAUACCGAAUAAAAUCACAGAUACACAUGUAUCCAUGAUCAAAACUCCGGUGGUCUAAGAUGGACUCGCGUCCCAUUAGCUAGUUGGUGAGGUAACGGCCCACCAAGGCGACGAUGGGUAGCCGGCCUGAGAGGGUGAACGGCCACAUUGGAACUGAGAAACGGUCCAAACUCCUACGGGAGGCAGCAGUGGGGAAUAUUGCACAAUGGAGGGAACUCUGAUGCAGCGACGCCGCGUGAACGAAGAAGGCUUUCGAGUCGUAAAGUUCUUUUAUAUGGGAAGAUAAUGACGGUACCAUAAGAAAAAGCCCCGGCUAACUACGUGCCAGCAGCCGCGGUAAUACGUAGGGGGCUAGCGUUGUCCGGAAUCACUGGGCGUAAAGGGUUCGCAGGCGGAAAUGCAAGUCAGAUGUAAAAGGCAGUAGCUUAACUACUGUAAGCAUUUGAAACUGCAUAUCUUGAGAAGAGUAGAGGUAAGUGGAAUUUUUAGUGUAGCGGUGAAAUGCGUAGAUAUUAAAAAGAAUACCGGUGGCGAAGGCGACUUACUGGGCUCAUUCUGACGCUGAGGAACGAAAGCGUGGGUAGCAAACAGGAUUAGAUACCCUGGUAGUCCACGCUGUAAACGAUGAGUGCUAGGUGUCGGCUUAAGUCGGUGCCGCAGUUAACACAAUAAGCACUCCGCCUGGGGAGUACGUGCGCAAGCAUGAAACUCAAAGGAAUUGACGGGGACCCGCACAAGCAGCGGAGCAUGUGGUUUAAUUCGAAGCAACGCGAAGAACCUUACCAGGGCUUGACAUACUGAGGACCGGU
rnacentral:rRNA from 1 species